rnacentral:rRNA from 1 species
GACGAACGCUGGCGGCGUGCUUAACACAUGCAAGUCGAACGGAAAGGCCCUGCUUUUGUGGGGUGCUCGAGUGGCGAACGGGUGAGUAACACGUGAGUAACCUGCCCUUGACUUUGGGAUAACUUCAGGAAACUGGGGCUAAUACCGGAUAGGAGCUCCUGCUGCAUGGUGGGGGUUGGAAAGUUUCGGCGGUUGGGGAUGGACUCGCGGCUUAUCAGCUUGUUGGUGGGGUAGUGGCUUACCAAGGCUUUGACGGGUAGCCGGCCUGAGAGGGUGACCGGGCACAUUGGGACUGAGGGACGGCCCAGACGGCUACGGGAGGCAGCAGUGGGGAAUAUUGCACAAUGGGCGGAAGCCUGAUGCAGCAACGCCGCGUGCGGGAUGACGGCCUUCGGGUUGUAAACCGCUUUCGCCUGUGACGAAGCGUGAGUGACGGUAAUGGGUAAAGAAGCACCGGCUAACUACGUG